rnacentral:rRNA from 1 species
AGCAUAUCAAUAAGCGGAGGAAAAGAAACCAACAGGGAUUGCCCCAGUAACGGCGAGUGAAGCGGCAACAGCUCAAAUUUGAAAUCUGGCCCCCAGGGUCCGAGUUGUAAUUUGCAGAGGAUGAUUUUGGCGAGGUGCCUUCCGAGUUCCCUGGAACGGGACGCCACAGAGGGUGAGAGCCCCGUCUGGUUGGACGCCGAGCCUAUGUAAAUCUCCUUCGACGAGUCGAGUAGUUUGGGAAUGCUGCUCUAAAUGGGAGGUAUAUGUCUUCUAAAGCUAAAUAUUGGCCAGAGACCGAUAGCGCACAAGUAGAGUGAUCGAAAGAUGAAAAGCACUUUGAAAGGAGGGUUAAAUAGUACGUGAAAUUGUUGAAAGGGAAGCGCUCAUGACCAGACUUGGGCCCGGUGAAUCAUCCAGCGUUCUCGCUGGUGCACUUUGCCGGGCUCAGGCCAGCAUCAGUUUGCCCCGGGGGAUAAAGGCUUUGGGAAUGUGGCUCCUCCGGGAGUGUUAUAGCCCAUUGCAUAAUAUCCUGGGGCGGACUGAGGUUCGCGCAUCUGCAAGGAUGCUGGCGUAAUGGUCAUCAGCGACCCGUCU